rnacentral:lncRNA from 1 species
CGUGUCAGCUCCCUGAGUCCAAACAAUGCAAGAAGAACCACUCUGUGCAAGGCCUUUGGUGCCACCCGUGCCCCGGGAGGCUAGUGACAGAAAGAACUACGAACCAACACUCCUGAGCAGCUUGAAGCGUGCGUGCUAUGGUCUUACACGAAGGGAGCCGCAGUCCCCUGUCCAGCCUGAACAGCUCUGCCUGGCUUCAUUGUAUUUGCCCUGAGUGCCCAAGAAAGACUGCACGCCCUGGAUUCCUGGUUUUCCAGACAAGACUGGAUUAUGAAAAUAAACCUCCUCUUCUUCAUCCUGCCUCCUCCCCGAACCCCCACCCCCGGCCGCCUUCCCGAGCAGAGCCUGCGGGAAUCAGUGCCUGUGCUGGGUGAAAGCAUCUUUAAACCUCGCCUCAGAACUGGCCUCUCCACCCUCAGAGGAAAUGCACGGAACCACACACCUGCUCCUCCCAGGGCUCAGCGAGAAGCCAGGGAGUCCAGGUGGGAGCGACCUGGUGUCAGCUGGGUUUCAGAUCCCGCUGCCGCUGGGGCACUGCAGGAGCCCUCGGCAGUGUGACUAGGAAGCAGGGCUGGGCUGCAGGGUCACAGAACCCAGGUCUGCAUCCGGGACCCCUAAGCAAGGGGCUUGGAUGAUCCAAAGAUGGACAGUGCUUCCACACACACUCCUUUGGUUUUGUGCUAAGCUGAAAAAUGAGCGCUUCCCAGAAAUGCCAGGAAAACCUCCCUCAGAGGUCAGCAAACAGGAUCCAUGUCCAGAGAAG